UGAGUUUCUGUGCAACCCCAAAGCCUGCAGUGCCCUGCUCUUUAGAGAGGAAGAACCACAGUCAUCAAGUGAGCAUGGACGAAGUAGAAUCAUCAGGAAUGGAAGACAGAGAUCUCAUGUUCACGUCUUUAUUCCCCGCUCCUUGUGUGGUGCCUGGCGCACAGUAGGCCCUCAGGAAACAGUUGAUGACUCUGAAGGAAUUGCCGUUGAAGCUGGAGACUUUAAUCCCAGGCUUGUUCCUUAUCAGCGACCCCUUAAAGGACGUAUCUACUAAAAACAUCCAGAGAGCUUGCCCAGCUGCCGAUCUGGGACUUUUGGUAGAACCCCACCAGGCCACUCAAUCCACGCAAGAAAUUGAAACAAGCAGCAGAGAUUGGGGGAAAUGUGCUGAAGGUGGCAGUCAAGUGGGGUCCAUUGAGGCACCACUUCUGCUGAUGUCUUCUACCAUCUUCCUGGAGUCUUCUGCCGUCUUCCUGGCCAAACUUGGAGCACUCCCAACCCUCCUCUGAGCUAGGAGUCAUUAAGCUGUUUUGGCUAGAUCCUCCAUGGACAUGUAGCAGAGUAUUUAUAUCCCACCUGCUUUUUUUCCCUAAUGUCAACAACUCAACUGACUUUGGUGUUUUCUUUGCUGCAUUAGAAGAAGUCAGUUUCUCUUAUGGACAGGAAGGUGACCUUCUCUUGAAUAAAAUACAUUUUUCCUACUAGCAACUGUACUUCUGAAGACCAAACCCUCCCUGCUGUGUGUGUGUCUGUGUGUGUGUGUGUACACUCACGUGUAUGUGUGCAUGCAUGCUAAUUAUUUAGGAUGAUAUUAAAAUUGCACUGAGGGGUCUUAUGAAAGAGGAGAAUAAAAUAAAACUUUUUGGUGGAAGACAAUACAUGUAUGUUCUGCAAUUGAGGAGAGACCGGGAAAGAAGGGAAAAGAGGGGGAUCUGGCACCAGGAGUGUAGUUAGAGCAAAACAGCAAAACCUCGGAUGCCAGGCAAUGGGGCAGAGAGGACUACUAUGUGGGUACUGCUUGAGUUUCUAGGAGGUAGACUGGAUCAGGAUCUUUGUCAGGGGACAAAGUACCUGAUAAUUUCUUCACAUCAUGUGAAUGAUGAUAGGGGCCACCUCAUCUACCCCUAGAGCUUUCAUCAGACAAAAGUCCAGUGACUCGCCCAGGCUACAAGUCUUUCCUCUACCACCAUCUAG
ensembl:lncRNA